UAGAAAGAAGAAGCCAGACAGUUCAUUCUCUUUCUUGAACAAAGAAAGAGAAAUUAUUUCUCAUGUAAUCGACAGGUAGGCUUGUAACCAUGCAAAUAAUUGUUUGAUCAUAAAAGUGCUGUUUUGUAUUAGGAGGAUAACUUGGAAUUAAUUUCGUUGGUGUUCCAAGUUUACAAGCAGUCCACAUCUUACAUAUAUAUAUACAAGUUACAAGGAGUCCAUCUGAAACAAUUUACAAGAAAAGUUUAACUUCUUGCUCUGCUAUUAUCAUGUGAAGAAACNNNNNNNNNNNNNNNNNNNNNNNNNNNNNNNNNNNNNNNNNNUUGACCUGUUUAAGAGCGAUUAGAGGAAAACAGUACCAAGUUUCUUCACUGUUGCAUCUUAGCCUUUCUAAGGUAAUACCCUUAACUCCGAUCCAAAGCACAGGAUAUAUUGUGGGAAAUUAGGAAGAACAGAGCAGCAUAAAUAAAGCACAGGCAGAAGCAAUUUUUUUUUGCAAAUUGAUGAACUACUAAAUUGGCAUCCCUAAAAAUGUGAGAGACGCACAAGGACGGCAUCGAAUUCCAAAUGCUAUGAAUUUUGCUAUUUGGAUCCCAAAGUCUCCAUCAUCAAUAACUCCAUUCACCCAUAUCGUAUUCAGUAGUGAUUGGGUGCGAAGCAAAGAAACGGGGAAGAUGAAAAAAUUUCUCUGAGGGGCUUCCGAAGAUUGCUUGGACCUCCACUUUGUUAUCUCUAGACCACUUAAGAACCCUACAUAUUCACAUAGAUAAUGGUGGAUGCUUGUUCAAAGAAAUUAACUGCGGAAACAACUUGCAAAACUUUUACAUACAGGUAGGAAAGGAUGCUUACUACUCGAAAAUUGCAGGCAGCGCAACAAUGCAUCUGAGCGUAAAAGACCAAAUUGAUGGCCAAAACAGGUAGCAACACGGGUGAAGGAGUUGUUGGGCAGAACAAAGGAAUUAUCAUUGAGGUAUCGGGAAGGUUUAAAGAAUGUGAAUCAAUUUGUGGCAGAUAGAUUAUCAAAUUGCUUGGAAUCUGUCUACAUCAGACACUGUGACAUUGCAAAUGUCUAUUCCUCUGGGUUCUUAAAACGUCUUGACAGCCUAGAACAACUCCAUAUAAGUUCUUGUCACAACUUGAGAGCAUUCUUUGUGAUGAGAUCAUUUACCAUCAAGCAAGCCAAGAAUGGAUCCAUUGAAGUAUGAGGGUCCAAUCACACGAGCUAGAAGCAAGAAAUUUAAGACUACCUUGUAUCAUUUCAUGGUCCACGUGAUAGACAAGAUGCAUUCAAGAAGCAAGGUUAGUGAAUUAAAUUUAGAAGAUCAAGAUUCAACUUUGAUUAAUUGUAUUUCAUUCAUGGAUUAAAGCCCAAUGUGAAGACAUAAAGAUCAGAUUUGAUUUGUGUUGAAUUCAAGUCCAAACGUAAAAUCCAAGUCCAAUGUUGAAUAUUUAAAGUCAAAGUCCAAGUCAAAAAGUCAAAGUCCAAGAUUGAAAAUCAAGUCUGAAUUUUCUUCUUCAAGAUCGCGAUUUCCUUCUUUUAUUCCUAUUCUAUUUGUUUUCUUUCUAUUUUUGUAUUUGACUAGUCAAUUCAUUAA
rnacentral:lncRNA from 1 species